CCCUCCGGGGCGCAGCAGGCGCGAAAACUUUACAAUGCGAGAAAUCGUGAUAAGGGAACCCCGAGUGCCCGUAAAUUCGGGCUGUUAAUCUGUGUAAAAAGCAGGGGGAGAAAGGGCCGGGCAAGACCGGUGCCAGCCGCCGCGGUAAUACCGGCGGCUCGAGUGGUGGCCACUAUUACUGGGCUUAAAGCGUCCGUAGCUGGAUUGUUAAGUCUCUUGGGAAAUCUACCGGCUUAACCGAUAGGCGUUCAAGGGAUACUGGCAAUCUAGGGCCCGGGAGAGGUGAGAGGUACUCCAGGGGUAGGAGUGAAAUCCUGUAAUCC
rnacentral:rRNA from 1 species